AUUGAACGCUGGCGGCAGGCCUAACACAUGCAAGUCGAGCGGAUGAAGGGAGCUUGCUCCUGGAUUCAGCGGCGGACGGGUGAGUAAUGCCUAGGAAUCUGCCUGGUAGUGGGGGAUAACGUCCGGAAACGGGCGCUAAUACCGCAUACGUCCUGAGGGAGAAAGUGGGGGAUCUUCGGACCUCACGCUAUCAGAUGAGCCUAGGGCGGAUUAGCUAGUUGGUGGGGUAAAGGCCUACCAAGGCGACGAUCCGUAACUGGUCUGAGAGGAUGAUCAGUCACACUGGAACUGAGACACGGUCCAGACUCCUACGGGAGGCAGCAGUGGGGAAUAUUGGACAAUGGGCGAAAGCCUGAUCCAGCCAUGCCGCGUGUGUGAAGAAGGUCUUCGGAUUGUAAAGUACUUUAAGUUGGGAGGAAGGGCAGUAAGUUAAUACCUUGCUGUUUUGACGGUACCAACAGAAUAAGCACCGGCUAACUUCGUG
rnacentral:rRNA from 1 species